CGGGGAAGUUCACCAGCACUGGUAUGGAGGCGCUUCAUUACAGCUUCACUCACCCAGAGGGCCGCAGCACAACUUAACAUGGGGGACUGACAUGGACGGCUCGUGCAGGCCCAGACGAUGCUGAGCGCCAGACGGAACACCCGCGUGGCUCACACGCCGACCGGAGCAGAGAGUACUCCGGUCUCCGGGUAUGGGGGGUCCCCGGAAAAUCCUGUCCCCACUGUCGUGAGCCCUGUGAGGCGGGAGUGCGCUGACCUGCCGGUGGACUGGUGGCCGGGGGGGUAGUGUACCAACAUUAAGUGUGAGGCCGACACUGGGAGAGACACGGGAGUGCCCACUCCAUGGGGAACAAAUUGAUGCUGGGGAGGUGCAGGGGGCAGGAAGGCCAGGGAUUUUGUGGUGGGGUCCAGUGGAUAAUCUCAGCCCCUGAGUGCCCACAGUGCCGCGGAGGACCCGGCCGGUGGGCGGGAGCCGAUGUGAGAAGAACGGGCGGAGGCUCGGCGACCUGAGGACUGCACCGUAGCUGAGACAUGUGAGGCCUCCCUCAGACUGCCAUACACCUCCCGCACAAGUUAUACCCAGCCUUGCUUUUUUACUUUUGGUGAAAUCCUUUUUUCUACUUUACUGUAUCUUACCUGCCUUAUAUUUUUAUAUGUAUAUAUUUUUUUUCCAUAUGCUCUGAUACGUACACCCUAUACCUCUGCAUGAGGUCACUGAGCGACACGCACUAUGCAACAAAGACUUUAACAUGUGAUUAUAAUGAUACUGCAGGGUCUGUUUGGCAACCAUUGAUUAAGUUAAGUUAACUGGGUAAAUAGCUACUAGCCAACCUUUACGUCUCUAUCAGAUGAUGCUCAUGCCCUUUGCAUACGUAACAGCAUGAUUGCUGCAUUGCACAAUGGAUAUUUACAUGUCAAGGCCUCAGACAGGAACCAUAUGCGCGCAUAUCAUGCUAUGCACCAGUAUACAUGCUCAGUAUAUUAACUGCACUAUAUGUCGGACCAUGCAGCCUUUAGUUUAAAAGCGACUAGGAAUAUAUUAGAGCGCUCAUUCAUGCAACGGCCCAUACCGUACCACACGUUUAAGCGGAUAUAUGAGCUUAUAUACAAUGCAUACAGUUUUUUUCCUUAUUCGUUUUCUUCAUAUCUCUCAUCAAGGCAUAUUUGUGUUCAAGCCCACAAAGCGCUGCUAUAAGAUACAUAACCAUGAAGCUUAACACCUACGUGAAGCUAGCUUAAAGGAACACUAUAGUCACCUAAAUUACUUUAGCUAAAUAAAGCAGUUUUAGUGUAUAGAUCAUUCCCCUGCAAUUUCACUGCUCAAUUCACUGUCAUUUAGGAGUUAAAUCACUUUGUUUCUGUUUAUGCAGCCCUAGCCACACCUCCCCUGGCUAUGAUUGAC